UUACCCAGUGAAAACAGUCAAGUCAAAAUGACGACAAUAUGACGUCAAAUUAGUCGAUUGUUGUCAUGGCGUCAAGAAAGUGGACCAAAAUGACGAAAAAUUGACACCAUAUAUUUUGACGUUGUACGCGAUGAAACAUCAUAAAGAAAGAUAAAAAUGGAUAUUUCAAUAAUAAUUGUAGAGUUAUAUGGGAAAAUCUCAAUCAAUGUCAUGUUGACAUCAAGAUGACUACAUUAUGAUAUCAUUUGAAUAUUCUAUAUAUCAUACUGUGAAGGUUUGGCUACAAAUAAAACUUACAUUUUCUCCACUUGUGGAGAAAGGGAAUACAAUUUAUUUUGUAUUCUUUUUACAUAUAAUAAUUUUAUAAAAUCGCGGUCUAUAACUUAUUGUUAGUUGCGUCGGUAACUCGGAUGGACUCGGAUCCACGGCCCACCGCCCAUGCCGAGGACCAAUCGCAUCGACUGACAAGUGAGAGCGAGUAGGAAGUAGGACAGAACGUCAUUUUUUCUCUCUCGGCGUGACGAACUCUGAAGAGCGGGCGCGCGACUCUGUAUGCAUGAGUGGAGGGGGAAACCAGCAGUGAGUGUGCUCGGGCUCGAAGUCGCGGCACGUAAUGGCUGUGUUUUGCCGAACCUCUGCAGCUAAGCAAUCGUUCGUUUGAUAGUUUCAAUGGUGAUUUCGAUUACAGUGCCGCUUAACUCAGCAUCAGCGCUUCUGUCCAGCCAAAUAUUUGUAGGCAAGUGCUCGCCCCUUAAGUGCGCUUAUAGUUGAACAGAGGUUCGGCAAAACAGUCAAGUUUUGGUACCGGUUUUGUGCACGUGCCGUGCACGUGCCGGUGUUGCUGCGUGUCUCCAUGUGUCUCGUGCCCACGUAUCUGCAUACUCGACGACCACAACACAGGCAAGCGCUCGCCGCUUAAGUGCGCUUAUAUAGUUGAACAGAGGUUCGGCAAAACAGCCAAGUUUUGGUACCGGUCUUGUGCACGUGUCGGUGUUGCCUGUGAAGGUAUAAAUAUAUUUUUGUGUAGCAGAUGAUAAUAGAUCUGCUCUCGGACAGGUGGUCAACAUUCUGAUCGACAAUGGAUACAAGACAAGUGCAGUUAAAUUGCGAUUUCCUUCGAGUUUUUUAACUGACACUGAGGCAAAAAUUAAGCGUUGGUUCCAAACUGCCAAUGGAAGAAAAGCUGAUUCUCAAAGUUAUUCUAAAGUAUAACUUGUUUGUAAGACUCAUUCCCACUAAGCGCGACGCGUAAUGUGUUCAGUAAAAUUACGCAUAGAUUUUAUUUUUUAUGUUAGAUGGUAAUGUGGGGCUUAUAUAAAACAUUGAAGCCCAAUUAGUCAAACAUUGUGAUUAUUACACAUAAUUAUAUGUGUUUACAUUUUUGUUUUAUUUAAAGUAAUAUAAUUAAAUAGAUAUAUUACUUAAUAAAUGUCAUACUACCAUGGUAUACUAUAACAUACCAUGGUAGUAUGACAUAUAUUCUAAAGUAUAACUUGUUUGUAAGACUCAUUCCCACUAAGCGCGACGCGUAAUAUGUUCAGUAAAAUUACGCAUAGAUUUUAUUUUUGUUAGAUGGUAAUGUAGGGCUUAUAUAAAACAUUGAAGCCCAAUUAGUCAAACAUUGUGAUUAUUACACAUAAUUAUAUGUGUUUGUAUUUUUUGUUUUAUUUAAAGUAAUAUAAUUAAAUAGAUAUAUUACUUAAUAAAUGUCAUACUACCAUGGUAUACUAUAACAUACCAUGGUAGUAUGACAUAUAUAUGAUAUAUUCAUAUACAUAUAUGAUAUAUUCAUAUAAUACGGUAUAUGAAAUGUUCUAUACUAUAUUUUAUAGCAAAAGGUCAAUAAAAAAACUAAUAAUAUAUA